UUACAGCUCAGUCUUCACAGCUGAACUUGUAUUUUUCAGAACAUAGUUCUUUAGCCAUAAGGCAUUUGGCAAUUUUCAUCAAUAAAAAAAUAAAUUGCAUAAAAGGGAGUUGGGGUUGAACCCGCCUAUCACCUUUUAUGUGAAUUUUCUCUUUCUAUUCUCUCAGCGCAUGUCUGCCAGCAUUUACAUUCCUGAAAUAAUUUAUGUGGGGAUGGAAGAAAAACAGAAAAGAAAACAACUUCCUCAAACUACUCUACAAGGAGAACAUUUGGAAGAUCAUGUCGAUGGAAUAGUGAUGCAGUGGUAAAAUUAAAGGUUAUGACAACUGAAAUAAUUUGUAUGAAGAUAAAACGUGGUUUUGUUCACAAACAGGAAUUCGCCGUGAACUUUUAAGUCUCCACUUGAUCUUAGCCAAAAGGCCAAGAAGUGAUAACACUUUUCAGUCUCAAUAUAGGUUUGGCAAAUUGAUUUUCCCCCCAGCAACAUAAUACUCAGAGAUCCCGAAAGAAUGGCUCUAUAUUGGCAGAAUUUUGGAGUCAUUGCAAGCUUCUUGGGGGUGUGGAGAUUCAGCCACGCUUCCAUGAGACUACUGGUGACACUCCAUCUGUCAGAUCUCAAAUUGACAGAAGUGAUAAGGACAGAGAAAGAGCAUGAGCAGGGGAGAGGCAGACAAAGAAUCGGAAGC